rnacentral:tRNA from 1 species
GGGGUUGUGGCUUAGUGGUAGAGCGCUUGUCUAGCAUGUAGGAGGCCCUGGGUUCCAUCCUCAGCACCACA